GUAGCUCAGUGGUUAGAGCAUCUGCUUUGCACGCAGAAAGUCCUUGGUUCAAUAUCCAGGUCA
rnacentral:tRNA from 1 species